rnacentral:rRNA from 1 species
GAUGAACGCUGGCGGCGUGCCUAAUACAUGCAAGUCGAGCGAACGGACGAGAAGCUUGCUUUUCUGAUGUUAGCGGCGGACGGGUGAGUAACACGUGGAUAACCUACCUAUAAGACUGGGAUAACUUCGGGAAACCGGAGCUAAUACCGGAUAAUAUUUUGAACCGCAUGGUUCAAAAGUGAAAGACGGUCUUGCUGUCGCUUAUAGAUGGAUCCGCGCUGCAUUAGCUAGUUGGUAAGGUAACGGCUUACCAAGGCAACUAUGCAUAGCCGACCUGAGAGGGGGAUCGGCGACACGGGAACGGGAACACGGACCAGGCGCCUACGGGAGGGACCAGUAGGGAACCGUCGGCAAUGGGCGAAAGCCUGACGGAGCAGCGCCGCGCGAGUUAUGAAGGUCUUCGGAUCGUAAAACUGUGUUAUUAGGGAAGAACAUAUGUGUAAGUAACUGUGCACAUCGUGACGGUACCUAGUCAGAAAGCCACGGCUAACUACGUG